UACAGAGGUGGCAAGCGUUGUUCGGAAUUACUGGGAGUAAAGGGCGCGUAGGCGGCCUUCUAAGUCAGACGUGAAAUCCCCCGGCUUAACCUGGGAACUGCGUCUGAUACUGGGAGGCUUGAGUAUGGGAGAGGGAUGUAGAAUUCCAGGUGUAGCGGUGAAAUGCGUAGAUAUCUGGAGGAAUACCGGUGGCGAAGGCGGCAUCCUGGACCAUAACUGACGCUGAGGCGCGAAAGCUAGGGGAGCAAACGGG
rnacentral:rRNA from 1 species